CCUCAGCGAGUACACUUAAGUGGUCAUGUAGCAAAAGGGGAAAAGAAUAGAGAACAAUCCAUCUUGAUGAUCAGGGAGGCAGGAACGUUCCCAUCAGAGAUUCCCCCUUCUUUCCCCAACUUAUUUUCACAAACUUGGACAUGAAUGUGGCCCAUAUAAGCCCAGCAGUGGGAGAAAGGGCAGGAGGGCCUCCGGUUGGGGUGCGUAUCUUUGGGCUUGGAAGAGAUGAAGCCACGUGGUGAAGCUGAAGGCGCCAUUUUGGUGGGUUCUCAUCUCCAGCCGCAGUUCCUGCAGCUGCAGUUAGACUGUGAACACCGCACCCGAAAGACCUGUUCUAUUGCUCAGAACAGUGAAGGGCAAGAGAAGGGUCUCCUUCUUGACACACCGCAUCCUGGUGGGGCACUAGAGGUAGCCGCAGGACCAGCCCCAAGGGCACAAUGAGCGAGGAUGUCUGGGGACAGGCUGGAGCCUCCGGGAGUCUGGAGUGUGAGGCGUUCAUGGUCAUCCAACCCUCAGACACAUGAAGGCCCUGUCACAAGAAACAUGAAGUGGUUCAAAAUCAAAACCUGCAGCCAGGAGGGGUGAUGAACAAAUAGCUUUAAUCAGGAAAACCACAGUGUUCUGAUUUCUGUCUCCAAUGGGAUUCAUUGUUUAGUUGGCACCCAACCUGGAAGAUACCCACCAGUAGGAGAGGCAUUUAAGAGUGCCUUACCCUGGACUGUGGUACAAACAGAACAAGAGGAAACUGGUUCAAGAAAGCAGCCGCUCAAUAUGGAUGGCCCUAGAGAUUGUCAUACUGAAUGAAAUUUUCACCUGCACCUCUCCAUGGACACGAGCCUUGAAGUCUUCUGUACCAUUUUUAUCUGACCAGGUUCAGUGGACAGUUCUCUGUUGACAUUCACUUGAUCUCUUAGCAGCAUCAAACCAGGUAAGUACAUCUCCUUAAACACCUGCCUUCCAGGCCACCACACUUACCUUAUUUUCCUUUGACCUCUCUGGUCUCUUCUUCCUAGUCAUUGUUGGAAUGCUCUCGAACUCAGUCCUCAGCCUUCCCAAAGCUGUUCAACCAUUGCCAUGGGUUUACAUGUCACAUGUGUACUAGUGGUUUUCAAGCUUGUAUCUGUAAUUCUUCCUUGACCUUAGGUAACUGCCAACUUGACUUCACUUCUUGGAUGUCUAACAGGCAUCUUGAGUUGAAUAUGACAGAUUCCCUUCCUCAUAGCCAUCCUUACCCCAGCCUCCUCCAUGUCCCUGCAGCACAGACAUUACCCUCAAAAGGGAUUAAGAGGGAUGUGAAACCUUUCAUGGAACUUUGUGUGUAGAUGUCCUGAAAUUUCCAUUUCAUUGCUAGUAAGAGAGUCAAAAGGUAGUCUAUUUCAGAGGAGUUAUUCUUAAUUUUAGAAAGUUCUGGAAUAUAGAUGCCUG